UACGAAGGGGGCUAGCGUUGCUCGGAAUCACUGGGCGUAAAGCGCACGUAGGCGGAUUGCUAAGUCAGGGGUGAAAUCCUGGAGCUCAACUCCAGAACUGCCCUUGAUACUGGCGGUCUCGAGUCCGGGAGAGGUGAGUGGAACUGCGAGUGUAGAGGUGAAAUUCGUAGAUAUUCGCAAGAACACCAGUGGCGAAGGCGGCUCACUGGCCCGGUACUGACGCUGAGGUGCGAAAGCGUGGGGAGCAAAGCAGGG
rnacentral:rRNA from 1 species